CGUGUCUAGUGCGUACGUGUUUUGUGAGUGUGUUGUCUGUGGGUCGCUGUGUGUGCGUGCACGUGUUAGCGUGUCUGCCUGCAUGCAUGUAUGUGUGCUUGUUUGUGUUCAUCAAUGUGCGCGUGCGCGCUUUUGUGUCUGCGCUUUGAGAGUGCGUAUACUUGUGUGUGCGGGUGGGUGCGUUUUGUGUGCGUGCGUGUGUAUUGCAUGAGGCUGGUAGAGUUUUACUCGCAAUAAAACUCUUCCGAUUUGGUGCAGCGAAUGUUCCCGCCUGAAAGCCGAGUUUGGUUUCAAGCCACCCUGGACAACUGCUGUAUGAGGCGCCGUUUCUCGGGAGGACCAGUGGGAAGGCGCCAAGUCAUGCAGAUGGUAGCAGCAAUUUCACAAUGCCCAGCCUUGGCGCCCCCAUCAAGAGCAAGCCACUUGCGUUCGCCUUCAGACAGAUGGUUAAUGUCUUCUUGAAAGCGGUUGAGAAGACAACAUUGAUGCAAGAUUCCAGCAAUGCCAUGCGCUGCAUUUAUUGGUCAAGAUGCUCAGAGAAUGGAGUCCCUGCACCUCGUGGUUAACCGUGAACAUUUCUUUUUCUUUUGGAAAGCUAAAGGCCAUUUGCUGCAUCACUUGCAUUUUUGCAGCUCAGAUGUGUACUAUAUUUUUCUAAUUUUGAAUCAAUAUUGGCUGUUCAGUAUAAAAAAUGACGUACAGCGUGAAGGACAAGGACUGCGAGAGACACACUCCACUGACUUUCAACAAUAUUUUAUUGCGUUGCCACAUCGUGUGUGUAUACACAGAGGGGUCAUGCGCAGAAAAUGAAAGCCAGUCGCAAGGGGUGUUCUAACAGCAAGUCAUUGUAAAAAGAACAUGGUCACUUGAAAAAAAAAAUCACAAUUU